AUGUUUAUGAAAACAUAUGAAUUAGCUGUUUUAUAAUUUGAUGUUUUUUUUAGAACAAUCUUCCUAUUAUUAUUAAAGUAUUGUGAAUAAAGAAUUUCACCAAGAACGAAGGUGAAAGAAGAAAAGAGAGAAAUGAGGUGCACAAACUUUUCGUUCGGUCGAGCUUCGGCCACUGUUUAUCUAAUUAUUUCAGAUUAAUAAUAAGAAUAAAUACCUACUUUUUAUGUAAAUGAAGCAAAGGGCAAGGCCAUACAAAAAUUUUACGACCGGAGCAUCACAAUCAUAAGGACCAAGAUUGCUACGCUAAGGCGAAGUAAAACACCCGAAUAAAUCAUAAUUAUUUUAACCGUGCUAAAGAUUAUUAGUACCGCUCUACACCUGUAGGGACGUAUAAAUAGUAAGCAAAUACACUUCAAAUGUUGUUGACUAGCUUUAUCAACUUGAAGGAUAUAUUGUAUAAACCAUGAGAAAAAUAAUUGCAACACAUAACUAUUUUAUGUUAAGAUAUAUUUCUUUCUAAUUUGGUCACAGUCAGAUAUAAAUUUCGAGACAUUUAUGUUUUCAAACUUUUUCACAUGAGCAAUAGUACUUUCGAUUACUUAAAUUUAAAUAAAAAUUCUGAAAUAAGA